rnacentral:tRNA from 1 species
AGGAGUGUUAGUCCAAAAUAAGACCUUUGAUUUCGGCUCAGAAAAUCGUGGUUAAAGCCCACGACCUCCUU